rnacentral:rRNA from 1 species
GAGUUUGAUCCUGGCUCAGAGCGAACGCUGGCGGCAGGCUUAACACAUGCAAGUCGAGCGGGCCCUUCGGGGUCAGCGGCAGACGGGUGAGUAACACGUGGGAACGUGCCCUUCGGUUCGGAAUAACUCAGGGAAACUUGAGCUAAUACCGGAUACGCCCUUUUGGGGAAAGGUUUACUGCCGAAGGAUCGGCCCGCGUCUGAUUAGCUAGUUGGUGGGGUAAUGGCCCACCAAGGCGACGAUCAGUAGCUGGUCUGAGAGGAUGAUCAGCCACACUGGGACUGAGACACGGCCCAGACUCCUACGGGAGGCAGCAGUGGGGAAUAUUGGACAAUGGGCGCAAGCCUGAUCCAGCCAUGCCGCGUGAGUGAUGAAGGCCUUAGGGUUGUAAAGCUCUUUCGACGGGGACGAUAAUGACGGUACCCGUAGAAGAAGCCCCGGCUAACUUCGUG